rnacentral:rRNA from 1 species
GUCUACGGCCAUACCACCCUGAACGCGCCUGAUCUCGUGAAGCUAAGCAGGGUCGGGCCUGGUUAGUACUUGGAUGGGAGAAUUAACCAAGUUUGGUAGGGG